AUUGAACGCUGGCGGCAUGCUUUACACAUGCAAGUCGAACGGCAGCGCGGGCUUCGGCCUGGCGGCGAGUGGCGAACGGGUGAGUAAUGCAUCGGAACGUGCCCAGUAGUGGGGGAUAGCCCGGCGAAAGCCGGAUUAAUACCGCAUACGACCUGAGGGUGAAAGCGGGGGACCGAAAGGCCUCGCGCUAUUGGAGCGGCCGAUGUCGGAUUAGCUAGUUGGUGGGGUAAAGGCUUACCAAGGCGACGAUCCGUAGCUGGUCUGAGAGGACGACCAGCCACACUGGGACUGAGACACGGCCCAGACUCCUACGGGAGGCAGCAGUGUGGAAUUUUGGACAAUGGGGGCAACCCUGAUCCAGCCAUGCCGCGUGCGAGAAGAAGGCCUUCGGGUUGUAAACCGCUUUUGUUCGGGAAGAAAUCCUCUGGGCUAAUACCCCGGGGGGAUGACGGUACCGGAAGAAUAAGCACCGGCUAACUACGUG
rnacentral:rRNA from 1 species